rnacentral:rRNA from 1 species
GGAAUAUUGGGCAAUGGGCGAAAGCCUGACCCAGCAACGCCGCGUGAAGGAAGAAGGCCUUCGGGUUGUAAACUUCUUUUAAGAGGGACGAAGAAGUGACGGUACCUCUUGAAUAAGCCACGGCUAACUACGUGCCAGCAGCCGCGGUAAUACGUAGGUGGCGAGCGUUAUCCGGAUUUACUGGGUGUAAAGGGCGCGUAGGCGGGUUUGCAAGUCAGGUGUGAAAUCUAGGGGCUCAACCCCUAAACUGCACUUGAAACUGCAGGUCUUGAGUGUCGGAGAGGUUGACGGAAUUCCUAGUGUAGCGGUGAAAUGCGUAGAUAUUAGGAGGAACACCAGUGGCGAAGGCGGUCAACUGGACGAUAACUGACGCUGAGGCGCGAAAGCGUGGGGAGCGAACA